UUAAUUCCUUUUUAGGGUUCCGUAGCCAAAUGGCAAAAAACGGAACCCUUAUGGAUUCGUCAUGUCUGUCCGUCUGUCUGUCUGUCUGUCUGUCCGUGUAUGUCACAGCCACUUUUUUCCGAAACGAUAAGAACUAUACUGUUGAAACUUGGUAAGUAGAUGUAUUCUGUGAACCGCAUUAAGAUUUUCACGCAAAAAUAGAAAAAAAACAAUAAAUUUUGGGGGUUCCCCAUACUUAGAACUGAAACUCAAAAAAAAAUUUCAUCAAACCCAUACGUGUGGGGUAUUUAUGGAUAGGUCUUUAAAAAUGAUAUUGAGGUUUCUAACAUCAUUUUUUUCUAAACUGAAUAGUUUGCGCGAGAGACACUUCCAAAG